UCCAACUCCUAGCGACCCCAUGGACUGCAGCCUACCAGGUUCCUCUGUCCAUGUGAUUUUCCAGGCAAGAGUACUGGAGUGAGUGUGUCUCACCCACUAGAACACAGUUCCUUGUGUUUUCAUCUCUCUUCCUAGAAACUGGCAUGGACCAGAGGUUCAGAUAGUAUUUGUUGAAUGUGUGACUACAUCUUGAAACAAGACAAGGGGAAGUCAAGGAGGAAGGUCUACCGGUCAGGCUUGUGCCCAAAUCCUCUCUCCAAACCGGUAGCUGCCAUCUUCUAAUGGUCCAGACAGAAAGCUGAGGCCCAGAAAGAUGGAGAGGCAGAGGUAUGCUCAACCCCAGCUGCAGCUUAGUGAUAGCAGACCAACCUGGACAGCUCUGUUUCUAUACUUGCCAAGUUCUUUCUCAGAAACUAUGUCCUGGGAGCUAUCAUACCUCCAUUUUCCUGAUAAAAGCCUGCAGCCUGAAAGGUCAGGAGACUGUCCCGGGGGGAGGGUCACCUUAGUGUCAGAGCAGGGGGUCCUGGGUUUCCUGUCUCUGUGCAGGUGUUGGCUUUACUCUUAGCCCUUGCUGGGGCAAGAGGUUGAAAACAAGACUCUGCGCCCACCCCUCACUCCUGGACACAACAGAAAGGAACCAGAGACCUGGCUGAGCCAGCGGGGUGUGUCUUGGAAUAUGCCCAUCAGAAGCUGAACCUGAGGUUUUGGCAGGUGGAACCUGGCCCCUAGAGGCAUGGAGGGGGUGUGAGAGGCAGAUGCUGACGGGACUGGAGAUCUGGGACAGUUCCUGGGUCUGCGAAGUCUGGUGCUGGGGGAGAAAGUCUGUAAUUUAGGAGGGGCACUGGCAGAGGAGGAAAGGCUCCUGGUCACAUCCUGGAGACUCACCCUCUGUAGAUGGUGUUUUCACUGUUCCUACAGGCUGUUUAGGAAGUGUUUUGAGGACACAGGGCUCCAGGGUUGAGAAUGUUUGGGAAACAGUGGAGUAAGCAAAGAGAAAGAGGAGUUUCUGUUCCAGGCCUUCUCAAAGCCUUUCUCAUAGCUCAGUGCAUUGCCAACCUCUAAUUGCAGGAAAAGUGGGCAAAGAAGUGUGGACCCUGCCUUCUGGGAGCUCACCGUCGGUGGAGGAGACCCAGACACAGGAACAAACUGAAUAUCAGGAGUCAGCCCAGUAGCCACCACUGGGACCAGUUUCUGGUGAGUCCUUCCGGAGAAGUUCAGAGACAAGCAAAUGUGUACAGUGAGAACACCCUUUGAAUGGAAUGAAACAGAACAAAAUAAGCCCUAGGGUGCCCAGGAGAUUGGGAACUGCCAUCUGAGGCUGAUUUCAUCUUGGUUUUGAGCUGAGUAAAGAAAACGCUGCCAAGGUCAGACUGCUGGAGGAGGCACAGCCACAGGCCUGGGUACAGGAUGAGAUGUUAUUCUUGCACACGUGCUGGGUCAAGAUAAGCACACGAGGGACACAAGGAUCCUCCAGCUCCCUCUGAUCUGGGCACACUAAGGACAGCUUGGCCAUCUUCUUAUUCUUACAGGUUCUCCUUCCCUACGCUACACAGUGGGGAAGAGGGAGAGCUAGGAUGCUUUCAAUCACUCUGAACUGGUGUCAGGUGCUUAAACCCUGGAAAAUAGAGGUCAUCCUCAGUAUGCUGUUGACACAUGAAGAUGCUCUGAGUCCUGGAAUCUGAGCAUGUCCAAAUAAUCUCUCUUUGUGUGGCCUGACUUGGAAUCCCAGGGAAGUGCCUUCUGCCUCAGUUUACCUCACUUUCUUAAUUUGGGAAUGAGCCUCAGGGUUUUUGUGCUGCUUGUUUGAAGCUCCAGGGCAUGCAGUCAGAGGCAGCUUUGAAGAUGCAAGAGUCAGCAGGGCCUUUAUGCAGGCAUCUCAAAUAUCCCCCAACACGUGAUUGAAACUACACAUUUCAGAGAAGAAUUCAACCACGGCACCAUUGUUGUCAUUCCCAUUUUAAUGACAGGGAAGGUGAGGUCUGGGAGGCACUCUAGCAACAUGUUCCCAUGGUAAGUGAGGUAAUUUAACCUCAUUCUGUUAAAACCACCAUCUCCUUCUAUUCCAGCUUCCCUUUGUGUCAGAUGAAGUUGGAGUGUGAGCAUUUUGGGGAUCUGGCUAAGAGGACUUUGACAUUUAGUUCGGGUUUAGUGGUUUUAUUUAUGUUGUUUCCAGUUACUUUUUUUCUCUUGCUCACCUGGGACUCAGCUGAUUCCUAGUCCUGACUUCAGCUGACUUCAGGGAUUUCCAGCUACAGGAAAAUCUUCCAGGAAUUACCCUUACCUGGCACAUUGAGGUGACUCACCUGGUACUGUGACAUGAAAGUGAAGGGUCAGAGGUCAUACCUCCAUAGGCAUGGAGGGUCCUACAGUGUGAAUGCCACCAGUAUGAGGUAGUACAGGAGAGGUUUGAAAUGUGUGUAUACAUGGAAAUGUAGUAUACAGAAGCCUGUUUGUGGAAAGUAUGGAAAUAUGUCAAACAGGUAAUUCACAAAAAGAAUGUUAUUUUUCUGAACUUUGUAAUCUCUGUAGAAAUUGAAAUUUGCUAAGAUUUCUUUUAUCUAACUAAAUCAUCUCUGUAUUA